GCGCCCUUAGCUCAGUUGGAUAGAGCAACGGAUUUCUAAUCCGUAGGUCGCAGGUUCGAAUCCUGCAGGGCGUA
rnacentral:tRNA from 1 species